ensembl:lncRNA
CGCUGUGUGAGCAUGAAUUAACCAGGAAUGUUCGAGAAUUAUUCCUGAAUAAUUCAUGAACCUGAAUUAAUCAUGCAUUUUCAUGAAUUAUUCAUGAAUAACUCAUGGAAAUGCAAGGUUUAUUCAUGCUCCAAAAAACCCAAGGCUUUUUCUCUUCUCUUCUGCAUUCUCUCCCUGUAAGAAACAGACCUGAAAUAAGCUAAGGAAUAUAUAUAUGUAUUGGGGACAGCAGGUGGGAGCUUCCUAAGCCAGACAAAGGAGACCUGACAAGAAACUGUGCUGAAGGGACAAGCCCAAGGCAAAGGAAUGUCCGGUCACCUCCUCCCCUGGAGCAGGCAGCUGAGAUCUGCAUAGACAGGAGACAUUUUGCAAGACUCAACACCUGGAGCAGUGCUAACCAGGGCUCACUGCCUCGGGUAGAACUCCAUUUGCUGAGCUUUCCUGCUCCAGGUGGGCAGCCCUGAUGUCGGCCAAGCUCUACGUGCUCAUCAGCUGGCCUGAUGGCAGCCGUGUCAUCAGCAUGGAGAACAUCAAGGAGCCCCGCAAGCCCUUCCAUCUCUACGUUGUGGGUGAACAGGUGCUGGCCCGCUGCCCUGGCUUCAGUGGGCUCUACUGGGGGAUUGUGGAAGGCAUAAGUGAGCAUAAAGAUGCUUUGGAGAAGAAGCUGCUGGAAGAUAGACAACUCCUGGAGAAGUUAAAAGACGAACCAGCUGUCCACAGCAUGAUGCCACCCCAGCCAAAAAAAUCCAGGAAAACCUUCCCAAAAUGGACCCCGGUGAAUGCAUGCAGGAAAUACCACACUGACAGGACUUACUCUGGGAAGCCACUGCUGCAGGCAGCUGAGCCCAUCCUGCCCUGCGGUGCUGGCAGCCCCUCCAUCACCAAGGAGAGAUGUACCCUGAGGCCACCCCAUCCCACCAGCACCUUCACCCCCACAGCCACUUUUGUCAGCCUGGCUGUGCCGGGGACUUCCCAGGGUGAGGAGGACAGAGCUGGCACCACUACCAAAGAUUACGUUGCCCUGGCAAUGAAGAGGAAGUCAGAUGGCAUCUUGUCCCAAUGCCAGCAACACAUCUGUCUGAACAGCUGUGAAGAUGGACAGCUGGACACUUUGCAGGACACGGGUGGUUUUGAGAGAGUUCAGAAAAGAUCUGCUCCCAGUGAAACGGAAAGGGAGAAGAUAGAGCAGCUGGAAAGGAUGGUCUUGGACCUCCAACAGGACGUCCUCUCUCUGAAGAAGAAGGUACAGAGGCUGGAAUCCCUGUCCUUCCAGGAGGAGCCCCACCGGCAGCCCUGCGAGGUGGUGGAGCUCUUCAAUGGCUACACCAAGGAACAGCUCCGAGAAGCAAUCCGCUUUGACCAGAAGAUCAGCACUGCCUGCAAGACGCUGCUCUACAAGCUCUUCACGUCCGACUACAUCCAGAGCCACUCCAUCACGGGGCGCAGAGGCAACACUUUCCGAGAGGCAAAGCCCAUGAUGGAUGAGCGCUGCAUCAAAAUCAUCAGGGUGCUGCUGAAACAGAAGUUUGGGGACCACCUCAGCGACACGGUGAUCACAGAGAAGAUACAAAACGUGCAGAAAGCUCUGAGGCAGAAGUUUAAGACAGAAUGUCUCUGACAUGGGGGUGGUUUGGUGUCUCUGGUCCUACCCUUCUCAUCAGUGCACCUGAGCGUCCCUCCCAAAAAUAUCGUGUCUGCAUUGCUGCUGCUUGGCUGAUUCCUCCUGAGGCACUGAAGAGGACACAGAUCUUUCACAAAUGUCUACCUGCAUUAAUCAGAGGGAAGUUUGCUCAGCUUGGCUCCAGGUUUGCACAUCUGCCAGCACUUUACCAGUUCCUUCCACUACAGUCUGUGUGCCAAGCUCAACUUAUGGCUGGGUGUUGACCCCUGGGUCUUUUUGAUGAACACGCUCAAAAGAUGGAGAUUUCCCAUUGGAUCCAAGUGUGGGUUGGUGAGCCAACCUUGCAGUGGUCAGGGAGGGAGAUUGGUGGUGGGGCAGGAGCUGCAGCCCCAACAAAGCAGCAGCUCCAUUUGCACAGGGACUUGGGAGCACCCAAUGUGACUUCUUGCAUAGCACAGCAGUCCCCUCAUCCUGUGGACAGCACCUACUCUCUUUUUGAAUGCAUACUGCAGCUUCUCAUGGUAACAGAAGGGCAGGCUCAUUAACACCAUGCCAUAAAACCUUCAGAGAAGGAUUACUUCACUUUUUUCCCCCCUCUGUUUUAAUGUGGCUGUCUGGAAGAAGUGUUUGCACUAAUGAAGCCUGCUGAACAAGAGAAUGUCUCCUAUGGAAGUUACACUGCAUUGAUUUUCCUUUUAAAACUAGAUUAUUUCCAUGGAGAAAUCCUGCAUGUUUCUGUGAAUGGGGGCAAGCAAUGGGGGCAAAAAGUGGCCAACUGCAGGUACACCUUUCCUUCAAAGAUCAGACACAUUGUGAUGCAGCCAUUAUAAUUUAAGUACAAUGUUUGUAGCCUAACUAAGAAAUGCCAGGUAGAAUCAGCUACUUUCAUUAGAUGUGUUUAACAGUCAUGCUGCAUUGCUGGAGUCAGUAACUGAUGAUAUUCCUUCUGUUUCUUCUUCCUCUCAACCAUGUGAAGGUGGUGGGUGGUUUCUUGUUAGCAUGGACCUUGAUGUGAGCAGCAGCUGAACCCAAUCACCUGUGAGUGCUGCACCUGGAGCCAUGCUUACCUCUGGUUUAUAAUGAGCAAAAUUGCCCCAAACAGCCCUUAAAAUGUGGCUGCCAUUCCAUCAGUGCGUUACUGAGGACCUCAGGUUGGCCUUACUGCCCAGGUGAGCACCCCAGGAGAUGCUUUGAGUGUUGGCUUACCAAAGGGAGGAUCAAGGAGGCACAGGUAGCCUGAUUUUGAUGCACUUUGGCACCAGCCCAUGGGGCUCUGUGCAUCUCCAGUUUUCAGCUUCCCCAGCAGCAGGAUGCAGUGGUGAGGAUGCUUCCUCCAACCUGCUGAGCCCUGGGUGCACCUUCUGCCUUCAUCCAACCUCCUGGUGCUUUGCCACAUCCUUUGCCAAGCUGCAGCCUGGAAAGCCAGCUCACUAAUGUUAUUUAGUAAAAUAUUAAAACCCUGUGUUGCUUUCCUCCUCGCCGAGAUGCCAAUCAUUAGCAUGAAAGGAGGUAGAAAGCAAACUGCAGGGACAGACUGUGCAGGUAUGAUGGCUCCUGAAACAAGAUGUCUCUAAUUAGCUCCUCUGGAAGCAGCUGAACCUGGGAACCUUUCUGUCAAGAACCCCAGAAACCCCCCAAAAUCAGGGCUGGGGGGGAAUGGGCUGCUGGCUGCUGCCCGACUCCAUGUGCAGCAGCCUCGGCACUAAUGAGACCAUGUUCAAAUGGGCCCUUCCAGGCAAUAAACUUUGGCCUCAGGCACUGCUGAAGGCUUUGAUAUGGCAGGGAGGGCUGAAGAAAGGCAACGCAGGUGGCUUUUCAUUAAACUUCAUUUGUGAGGUAUUUGUGGAGGGGAGACAGCGGCUGCAGGCUAAUUGGGAGCACUCAGACACUGACGAUCAAGCACCUCUAUGAGGAAGCCAGUGCUCUCCUCCCCUGAGCUCCAGCUCGGGCUAAUCAGCCUCAGGAGGGGAGAUCACAGCACAGGGAUGGGGCUUCCCCUCGGGGAUGAAGGGUCAGGGAAGAUGGAGGAGGAGGAGGGUUUGUGCCAGAGCCACUUCACCUGGGGAUAUUCAAAGCCUGCAUCCCUCUCUAAGUGAUGGAGAGCAGCUUGACUGCACUGCAUUAACCUUUCACUUUAAAGGAAUUACUGGGAGAAGCAGGACAGGUCUUUCUGCUGAGAUGAAUCAGGUGAGGACAUAACACCUUGUUAAAAGCAAUGCUCCCGUUCAGUUUCUGGGCACUCUGGGUACUGGAGGACAUGGGCAGUGAAAGCUGGGCUCAAACACAGGCUGAGCUUCAAGUUGAGAGCAGCCUGAGGAGGUGCUGCCAAUGGGAGCUUACAUGGGGAAAAAAAUACAAGCUGCCAAGAGAAGAGGGAAAUUCUCUGGUGCUCAACCCUAUUUAGUUCAGUUUUAUCUCCUUGGCUCUGCCAGGGGGGUUCCAGCGUCCAGCACAGGCAGGCUUUAAUUUCCCAUUUCUUGGCUCGUAAGAAACACACACCGCUAAGUCUGAAUAUCCAUGCUGUGUGAAUCCCCUUGGAAGUGUAGCACAGUUUAAUGAAAUCACACAAACUGUGAGCUUUGGUUAAAGGAAUGAUGUUAAAAUGUAACGGAAUCUUUUCUGGUGUUUUAAUCAAGCCUUACAAAAGCUGGCUGCCUUUGCAAGAGUCCCGGGCAGCUGCCACCAGCUCCAGGAGGCGCCCUGAGCUUGCUCCAAGCAGAAUUAGUGAUGGAAGAGCUUUGUGCUUAGUCGUUCCAGAUGCUCUACCAGCCAACCCAAGGAACUGGGAUGCAAGCUAGAGAGAGCUCAGCUGCAUGGCCGUGGAAUGCUGAGAUGCCAAGCCGUGCUCUCUCACUCUCAAAGCUCUCGUGUCCUUGUGGCAUUCAGCACACAGAGAGCAUCUCGACAAGUGGGUUUUGCUUGUUCUGUUCUGGUAUGUCUUUAUCUUAUUUGGCUUUUAAAACGUGGUGAAAGACAGAGAAUGCACCUGGAGACGUUGCCCCACAUCCACACAGAUGUAUUGCAUUAAUGCUUUUGAUUUUUUUUUUAAUUUUUUUUUUACAGCAGUCACUUUUCAUCAUCAUUUUCCAUUUUUCUUGAAAGGAUAACUGCAUAUUUUUGGAGAGCAUGGCCACAUACCUGGUAGGUGUGCAAAUACAUCGGAUUUUAUCUCUUUCAUCUCUCUGCUUCAGUUACGUACUCAUUACACAUGAUUUUUACCAGUAUUUCUCUGUACAUGAUUACAUUAUUCAGCCUCAUAUCUUUCUAUCUCCAGAAUCUAUUCAGAGUCAAAUGGAACUGAGGAGAUCGUUAUUAAAACACAGAAAGCGCAGGAAUAAAAUUAACCGUAGCACCAGUUCUCUGUGUGCUGAAUACACCGAGGAAAUAAAAGGGCCUUCCACUUCUAAUAAAAUCUGGAUAUGAAUUGCCUUGUAAGAGCCUAAAUGAAUUAUGUUCAGAGGCCAAAAAGAGAGAAAAGAGGCAGCUUGGUGCCCUCCAACUGUGGGCUGUCUGCUUGCAUUGCCUUGGUGUGCAGCAUGCCAUAGAAGCUCCAAAACCAGGUGGCAUAUUCUGCUUAGAGUCAGCUUUGAGAUUGCCUGAACGGUUGGGCCAUACAUCCACCUGCAGCUGGAGGACAUCCUGGUGACAUAUGGAUUCCAUGGAGGUUGCUGGCCCUCUGCCUGCCUCCUCCUGCAGGCUCAGCCUUUGAUUCAUCCUUGCCCAGGUGCCUCAGUGGAGGGGGAAGGACAGAGGUUUGAUGGCUUCUCAACCCAAUGCUUACCCCAUUCUAAUCCUCCCAGCGAGGAUUUGGGGCAUAGAUACAGCUUCUCAGCUUCCUUCCCUGAGCACAGGAAGACAAGGGUUGGUGGGACCAUGCUCCAGCAUCCCCUUGCCAACGGCACGUGCCUGUUGUCCCACAGCAUCGCACUCCUCCAGCCACAUCAUGCAAUUUGGAGGCACGUUCUCUCUUAAUGGUACGUCUUAUUGGGUGAGUUGGGUUUUUUGUUUUUUUGGUUUUUUUUUUUUUUUACUUGGCAAAUGGAGUUAGGUGGAGCAAUGGGAGCUGUGUGCCUAACUCAGCAAGGGAGAAAUUAGCACCCUGCAAGGCCGACGACUGCAUGGUGCUUAUUGAUUGCUUCUCAUAGAUACAAGAAGCAGAGCCCAGUGUUGGGCAUGUGAGGGAUGAGGAAGCUGCAGAACCAAUGUAUUCCUGCUCAUGAAUAAUCGUUAAACUCUUAUGAUCCAAAGGAGAUGGGAGGUUAUUAUUAUUUUUAUUAAUUCUAGUAGCACCGUGUCCAGAGACACAGAAGGUGGCGAUGAAUGACAGUUUGUGGAUUCUGAUGGUUUGCCCAUUUUUCUCAGGAAUUUGCAGCAGGCUCAGAUCUGGUCCCAUGCUCGUUAGGAGAACACUGUGUGGAGAAGAAACAUUCAAUAGUGAAUGUUUGUGUCUGAUUCUGCAGAGGGAGAAUGGUGCACCGAUGGCUCAGGAGCAACAUGGAGCCUUUUUUCAUCUCCUCUGUGCUUUCCUGGCCCGGUGCAAAGUUGGAUGAAGUCAAUGUUAACAUCAUUAAAUAUCUUCAGUUUAACUGAAUUUGUCUGGACCAAGGGAGCAAUUCAAAGCUCUAUCUACCCACCAUUCUCUGUGAGAAAUAACCUGCUAACCCUGCCUGUCCCUGCAAAACUGCAUCAUAGAUCUGCAGUAAUCUUUGGUGACAAAUGGUCUGAAAAGUAGAAAAGGAAGAAGCCCAUGAUUUUUUUUUGUGAGCAGAUGAGCUGUCUGGAUUAGGAAGGACAACAGAGGCACUUCCAGCUGCAUGGUCGUUGUCCUGGUGUUUCUUAUUAAAAUUAACUGCCUAAAAAUUGCAGUUACCAUCAACUAGCUACAAGAUGUUUUAUUGUGUUCUGUGGUCCCUGGAGCUUACAUACCCGAAGCUUGCAACCUGGUGAUUAGGAAUAUCGUUUGGAAAAAAAACACAGUUUAACCAAUACGGUGCAGUGCCAGCUUCAACGAGCUCUGCCUUUAUGAAUAAUGAGGUGGACAAAUGGGUGCUUCCCCAGGUGGCAGACUGAAACACAACCGAGCACAGAAAUUGCUUUUUCAUUUUUGUGGCUGAAAACGGGAAGGAUGUUUUUGGAAAGUCACCCAACUGCCAUCUCUUCCCAUCCCCUCCAUGAGAUGCCAUUGCAAGGUUGGGUUUUCACUGCAGAAGCCAGCGUCAGUUUUGCUCGGUAACUCCAGCCUGCAGAAGUUCAGAUACAAGACAAUCAGUUUAUCAGCAAUGAGUGGGAUUCAAUUUUCAGUCCCUAGAUUUCAACAAACCAUUGGAAAAAUACAGCUGUGAUUUUUCCCACAAACAGAAACUGGACGGGCUGCUGAGAGCUCUCAUGUGGUUUGCUCACUUUACAGUGUUGUGUGCAGAAAGUGAAUUGGCCAAACUCUGCUUCAAAUGUGCAUUUCUGGCAUGACAAGGAAGCAAGUAACUCUCCUCAGCUUGGAAUAUCCUCCCCCAGACCAUCGUGUUUAUUUGCUUUACACAAAGGCAAGACUUUCUCUGGCUCACAUGCGGAUUUGCCAUGUGUACUUCUCAUUGAGCAAUCCACCAUGGCAGAAGAAUCAAAGAGGUUUCAGCUCUUUCCCCUACCCUUGCCUUCCCUGUCUGACAGUGUUAAUGAGUGAUAAUGCCUCAUGAUUUUUUUUCACUGGCUAUUGCUGCUGAAAAUUGCUUUGGUGCACUGGGACUCUUAUUCGCUGGGUAUAACAAGAGCGUUCUGCAAAGCAGAGGGAUAAGGACUGAGGAAGUGUUGUAUUUAGAAAUCCUUUGUUGGUCUGACCUUUAUCCUGUCUCAGAAUCAACUUUUAAAGAGUGAUUCCUAUCCCACCUCACCAGGCGUUAUGGAGGAGCAGCAUCUCUCUCCCUUGCACAGAGAUAACUCACACAUCCAAAAGGUAACGAUGCCCACUCCAAUGGCAGAGACUUUGGGCACAGGACCACUGCCAUUUGGGGCUCUUUAUGAACGAUGAAUCUUAGAUUUGUAUAAUAAAAGGCUGGAGAGCUGCUACGUGGGUGGAAAGAGUGGGACCCCAUUCCUACACCUUCCUCACUGCCUGUGUCUGUGUACCGGAGGGCUCAGUGAGAUUUGAGAAAAUGAUAUUUCUUUUGAAGUGGUGGUAGCUGAAGCAUGAAUACAGUCACAAGGAAUGGGGAAGUUUUUCUCAUGUACUGAACCAUUUGUUUGCAAUGAAUCUGCAGCAGAGCAAACCCCAGCGGGUCCCCAAGGCUGGAGCAGAGGAGAUGCUUUGUGUGCUGUGUUGUUCUCCCUAAAAUGUGCAUCGUGGUUCACUGCAUUGACUCCAAGCCCCCUUGGCUUUCACCGCCCCAUGGGGACUGGGAAGAGGACUGGAUGCAUGCUGGGGCCAAAUUCAGCCCCAUAAGGGCUGUAUGCAGCUGCUGUCCCAUCAGCAUCACCAAAGCAGUGAGAAGUUGCACUACUGAGUACACUGAGAAAAUGUAUUUGGCUUCUUCUGUCCUUCAGCAUUUCCUGAAGGGGAUGGACACAGGCGUCUCAUAGGGCUGCAAAGCAAUCUAGGAUAUGGUCAAGGCAUAGCUGGCCAUAUGAAAGGAAGCUUCAAGACAGCUUUAUCCCAAACUUCCACGAUGAUAGCAGUGCUGGGAGGCAGGGAGGGGUGGCACUGGGGAUUUCUGGACUCACCGUGCACCAUAUCUGAAGAGAUGGCAGCUCUGGGUAUUAAAUAGCCUUCAAGAGAACAGGAACAGCUGCAAAAUGUUUUUUUGUUGACCAGUGGUACAGCUCUGGCUGCACUGAAUCUGAAAAGUCAGCAAGUAGAUUAAACAGUACAGUUUAGCUCUGAGGGCUGAGCAUGGGGCUCACCUCAGAAAUGGGUUCUCAGAAACCGUAAUUGAAAGAAAAUGUGAUAUUUCUAAAUCUCAUAAGGCUGGGAAUCUGCCGAGAGGCACAGGCGGAGUGAUGGAGCGCACGUGCUGUGUGUGCCCAUCCUGCCUUUCUUGUCAGCGUCUCAUUCGGUGUUGCCAUAAUAAUGAGCAUCCGCUCCCAUCAAAAAAUACAAUAAGCUCAUUACUUAUCUAUUACACAUGCUUUCCUUUCCUUUGCCCGUUUUUCUGUGUGGGGAACGGUAUGUGUGUUGCUGUUGCAGGUAUGUUGUACGUGUAAAUGGAACUAUCACUGCGUAUCCCUGCUCCAGGAAAAGGGCAGGGCAACAGUGGGCGCUCCUUUUUCCUCCGUACGGAAUGGAAUAGCUCAAGGUACCAACCCUCAUUUCUCAGAAACAAUUUUACUUAUGUCUUCCCUGGACAUAAAGGCACCUGUUUUCCUCUGUUUAGAAAAAAAAGAUAAUAAUAAAAAAAGAGGAAACAAGUCCUCACUUAUUCCCACUGUUCAACUUUGAUAAAACUAUAGCUUAGAAGACUCUACAUAUUAAUAGCGUGAAUCACUUAAGUGAGGUACAUUAUGUUUUCAAUUUCCAUGAUGCUUUUAGUGCAGGCAACUUAUCAAGGGCUGCCGUUUAAUCUGCUGUAGCAAUCUUGAACAUUAAAG